UACGUAGGGUGCAAGCGUUGUCCGGAAUUAUUGGGCGUAAAGAGCUCGUAGGCGGUCUGUUGCGUCCGCUGUGAAAACUCGGGGCUUAACCCCGAGCCUGCAGUGGAUACGGGCAGACUAGAGGUAGGUAGGGGAGAAUGGAAUUCCCGGUGUAGCGGUGAAAUGCGCGGAUAUCGGGAGGAACACCGGUGGCGAAGGCGGUUCUCUGGGCCUUACCUGACGCUGAGGAGCGAAAGCGUGGGGAGCGAACAGG
rnacentral:rRNA from 1 species